rnacentral:rRNA from 1 species
UCCAGACUCCUACGGGAGGCAGCAGUCGGGAAUAUUGCGCAAUGGAGGAAACUCUGACGCAGUGACGCCGCGUGCAGGAAGAAGGUUUUCGGAUUGUAAACUGCUUUAGACAGGGAAGAAAGAAAUGACGGUACCUGUAGAAUAAGCUCCGGCUAACUACGUGCCAGCAGCCGCGGUAAUACGUAGGGAGCAAGCGUUAUCCGGAUUUAUUGGGUGUAAAGGGUGCGUAGACGGGUAUACAAGUUAGUAGUGAAAUCCCUCGGCUUAACUGAGGAACUGCUACUAAAACUAUAUAUCUUGAGUACUGGAGGGGAAAGCGGAAUUCCUAGUGUAGCGGUGAAAUGCGUAGAUAUUAGGAAGAACACCGGUGGCGAAGGCGGCUUUCUGGACAGAAACUGACGUUGAGGCACGAAAGUGUGGGGAGCAAACAGGAUUAGAUACCCCCGUA